rnacentral:lncRNA from 1 species
AAUUCCCCAGAAGAUUCUAAUGUGCCUCUGCAGUUGAGAACUAAUUAGGUAAAUGAAAACAACAACAAAAACCAAAAAACCUCUUCAGAAACUAUGCCUGCUUCUUCAUCUUUGUCCCUUCUUUAAACACCUUGAAAGGUCUUAUUCCCUCCCAGCCCCUCCUGCCCCUAGGUUUUCCUAGAUGCCUCCAUAUUUCUGCUAUUCACAACUGGGGCUCACAGGAAAUGUAGACACUAGAAAGAGAGUUACAAUUGUUUUUGCAUCAGAAUGAUUAUGGAAUACAAAGUGCACAAAAGUUCUCCCUCCCCCACCACAGUCCAUUCUCAAACAGAGCAGCCAAAGUGAUUCUGUUAAAAUAUAUUUCAGAUCAUGCAUCCUCUGUUUAAAAUUGCAAUUGUUUUCCAUAUUCUUCAGAAUAGGAGCCUGUCCUUAUAGUGGCUAAGGAGUGGCAAUGGAAGAAGCCUACUCAACAUGAAGAUGACAAGGACAGCUCAGCCAAGCUUCUGAUUCCCUGGAACCUGGAGCACUUCAUCAGUUUGGCCGCAGAAGGCACAACUGCUCUGGGGGACCUAAGCUUAGGGUCCCUGGAAGGUGAAAGCAUUGACUCAGCUUUGGCACUGGAGAAGCAGGAUGCUCUGAAUUAGGUUAUUAUCGAUGCAUAUUUGACCUGCUCAUCGAGUCUGACAAGUGACCCGGGAACCAUUUCAUCCUGAUUAAGAACCAUUAUUGGGGAACUAGUACAGUUAUUUGGAGAAAGUCAUGUACAGAGGAGUUUAAGACGACAGAUGGGAAGCAGCUAGUAUACACUGCUCUCAUGGAGAUGAAACAAAGUGGUGAGUAAAUACUAGUUCCUCAAGUGGAUUGUCAAGGAGAUCCCAUGAAGAUUCACCAAGGAAGCAACAGGACCAACAGAGAACAAGAGGAGCGAAGCCAGGCAGCUGCCCACCCAGAACUGAUGGAGAGUGGGGGAAGCUCCCUCACGCAGGGAAAGGUGAGUGAGUGAGAGUCCUGAGGGGAUCUAUACUUCUGUGAUAGACCUUUGCAAUCCCGGACAUGAGAGA